AUGGAUGGGAGCACCCCCAGAUCCUACUGGAGGCCGGGAGGGGGAGGGGCUCGGAGUCCGUGCCUGGUGCCCGGUGGGGAUGGGGGGUGGAUACAGCACGGAGCCCCGGUGCCGGGGGGGUCGGGGCGGGGCGGGGCGGGGCGAGGUUAUGUAAGGCGGCGAUUAACGGGGCCGGGCCGGGCGGCGGCGCGAUGGGAGCAGCCAGCAGCGGGUCCGGCCCGGGGCCCCCCCAGGUGCGUGCGGUGGCCCCGAGGUUGUCCCCGCGUCCCCCUAUCCGGUAUCCAACCCCGGCCCGCUGACGGCUCCCCCCUGUUCCGUAGAGCCGCUCCGUGGGGUCGUGGGUGCGGGCGCUGCUCCGCCGGAGCGGGUCGGUCCAGGGGCCGGUGCCGGUGCCGGGUCUCGCUGUGGCCACCGAGGAGCCGCCGCCGUUCCCGGGGUGGCCGCUGCCGCAGCUCGUCUCGCUCUUCCUGCCGGAGUUCCCCGUGCGUCCCUCCGCCCGGCAGCAGCAGCUCAAGAUCCUGGGCUUGGUGGCCAAAGGCUCCUUCGGUACCAUCCUAAAAGUGUUGGACUGCGGGCGGGAGAAGGUCUGCGCCGUGAAGGUGGGUGCUGCCCCACAGC
ensembl:lncRNA